rnacentral:rRNA from 1 species
AUCAGGAAUAUUGCGCAAUGGGGGAAACCCUGACGCAGCGACGCCGCGUGCGGGAUGAAGGCCUUCGGGUCGUAAACCGCUGUUGUGGGAGACGAAUGACUGUCGAUGAGGCAGUGGAGACGGUAUCUCACGAGGAAGCCCCGGCUAACUACGUGCCAGCAGCCGCGGUAAUACGUAGGGGGCGAGCGUUGUCCGAAGUUACUGGGCGUAAAGCGCGCGUAGGCGGCUCUUUAAGUGACUGGUGAAAUCCCCGGGCUCAACCCGGGGUAGUCUGGUCAUACUGGGGAGCUAGAGUGUGGGAGGGGAGAGCGGAACUCCUGGUGUAGCGGUGAUAUGCGUAGAGAUCAGGAAGAACACCCGUGGCGAAGGCGGCUCUCUGGACCAUAACUGACGCUGAGGUGCGAAAGCCAGGGGAGCGAACG